rnacentral:rRNA from 1 species
GAUGAACGCUAGCGGCAGGCCUAAUACAUGCAAGUCGAACGGGUUCAAGUAGCAAUACUUGGAUCAGUGGCGCACGGGUGCGUAACGCGUAUGCAACCUACCUUAAACUGGGGGAUAGCCUUCCGAAAGGAAGAUUAAUACCGCAUAAGAUCACGAGAGGGCAUCUGAUUGUGAUUAAAGAUUUAUUGGUUUAAGAUGGGCAUGCGUGCCAUUAGCUAGUUGGUAGGGUAACGGCCUACCAAGGCUACGAUGGCUAGGGGUUCUGAGAGGAUGAUCCCCCACACUGGCACUGAGAUACGGGCCAGACUCCUACGGGAGGCAGCAGUAGGGAAUAUUGGGCAAUGGACGCAAGUCUGACCCAGCCAUGCCGCGUGCAGGAAGAAGGCCUUCUGGGUUGUAAACUGCUUUUAUCUGGGAAGAAAAAACCCCUGCGGGGGGAACUGACGGUACCAGAGGAAUAAGCACCGGCUAACUCCGUGC